rnacentral:rRNA from 1 species
GACGAACGCUGGCGGCGCGCCUAAUACAUGCAAGUCGAGCGAGAAGGUGUAGCAAUACACUUGUAAAGCGGCGAACGGGUGAGGAAUGCAUGGGUAACCUACCCUCGAGUGGGGAAUAACUAGCCGAAAGGUUAGCUAAUACCGCAUACGUUUCCGGAACUUCGGUUUCGGAAAGAAAGCAAUACCGUGGGUAUUGCGCUCCUGGAUGGGCUCAUGUCCUAUCAGCUUGUUGGUGAGGUAACGGCUCACCAAGGCUUCGACGGGUAGCUGGUCUGAGAGGACGAUCAGCCACACUGGCACUGCGACACGGCCGAGACUCCUACGGGAGGCAGCAGUAAGGAAAUAUUGCG